rnacentral:rRNA from 1 species
GACGAACGCUGGCGGCGUGCUUAACACAUGCAAGUCGAACGGAAAGGCCCUGCUUGCAGGGUACUCGAGUGGCGAACGGGUGAGUAACACGUGGGUGAUCUGCCCUGCACUUCGGGAUAAGCCUGGGAAACUGGGUCUAAUACCGGAUAGGAGCCAUUUUUAGUGUGAUGGUUGGAAAGUUUUUUCGGUGUAGGAUGAGCUCGCGGCCUAUCAGCUUGUUGGCGGGGUAAUGGCCUACCAAGGCGGCGACGGGUAGCCGGCCUGAGAGGGUGGACGGCCACAUUGGGACUGAGAUACGGCCCAGACUCCUACGGGAGGCAGCAGUGGGGAAUAUUGCACAAUGGGCGCAAGCCUGAUGCAGCGACGCCGCGGGGGGGAUGACGGCCUUCGGGUUGUAAACUCCUUUCGCUAGGGACGAAGCUUUUUGUGACGGUACCUAGAUAAGAAGCACCGGCUAACUACGUG